UCCUUGGCGGCCGGUGCAGCCGGGUCGGCCCCCGGGGGCGGACGGGCCGCGGUGGGACGGCACCGUGGUGGCAGCCGGCUGGGAGGGAGUAGCCGGCGGAGGGAAAUUGCUCGGGGUGAUUCAGAGCAAUUUUCCUCCCAAUUCCCCCGGCUCCCCAGGCGGACGUGCACUCGCCGGGGCGGCGGAGGGGGGCCCCACGCGCUGACCCACAUACGCCUUCCCCGGGGAACACCCUCCGCUGGAGGCUCCCCGGGGAGGUGCAGCAGCGCGGGGAGGCAGCCGGGGAACAGGACCGACCGGGAGAAAUCCUCGCCCUCCGCCCACGACGGCUGGCGAGGCGAAGCGCCCGCGCGGGGCUGCUGCCGCCCAGUCUGCGCCCGCCGAGCGGCUGCUGCAGGUGAGCGGGGGGUCAGGGAAAAUGCUUGAAAUGGUAAAAGCCCCCCCGAAAGCCCCUGCCUCGCCGGGCUGCCGCUCUCCCCCGCCUCGGGGCUGCUCUCGCGCUGCUGCGCCGGGCGCCCGGGCUGCAAACCCGCGCCCACCCUCGCCUCGGCCGCAGGGGCCCGCGGCAUGUCUCGGCUCCUCAAGGCCCUCGCGGACGUGAUGGGCAGCUACCAGGGCAGCGGCAGGAAGGGGAAGAAGCCCGAGCCGUUCAGCAGGAGCGAGUUCAGAAAGCUGAUCCAGCAGGAGUUUGCGCCCGCCGAGCGGGCGCCCGCCAGCAGGUAGCGGUGCGUCUCCAGCCUGGACGCGGACGCGGAGCCGAUGAACCAGCCGGAGAGGGGCCCUGCCGAGCGCUGCUCGUGCUGAGGCUGGGGCGGGCGGCUGCCCUGGGGCCCCGGCAGGGAACGCCCGGCUCUGCCCGACCCGGGGGCUUCCACCCGCUGCAACGAAACCCGGGAGAGGCGCGUGCCCACGGGGCUUCGGAGCAGCUCCCGCUGCGCUUUCCUCCGUCCCUGCAGGAUGGCCGAAUUCCCUGGAUGGCGAAGGAGUGGGGUGACGGUGCCUCCGGCCGCGGUGGCAUCUCCCGCGGGAACCCCGCUCCUCCGGCACAGACGCCGCUGCCCCGGCCCGUCGCCCUCCACGGCGUCACCUCCACCAGCACAAGCGGCCCCGGCUCCCUCGUUUCGUCCCAUUCCCGAGCUUUUCCGUCUGUAACGGGCAGUGAGCGAGACAUCCCUGGCGGGCAGGGCCGGGACGAGCCGUGUGAUGAGCUGUUUCGGGCCGUGCGGCAGUGGCGAGCGGGGCAUGCGGGCGGCUCUGCGGGGACGGUGACACGGCUGCGGCCGGCAGCUCACGUGCAGCUGAUUCGAGUCUGCGACAAAAUUCCCACGGAUCUGCGGGGGGGAGAAAUUCAUCCCACGCUUACACAGGUGUUUCAGCCUAAUAAAUGACGCUGGGGCGAUGCAUUGGCUUUCUUCUGCAAUAAAAAAAGGGAAACUGAGCCCUUCUGGAAA